CCAAUCAUUGAGCUGGGCACCAUCUUUAAAUUCAGGAAAGGGAGAGUGGGUGACUUUGCUUCACAUGGAUUGUGGGGCUUAUGUGCUAGCUGAAUAUGUUGUGCUGUAUGCUGAUUUAUGAGGAAUCUUCUUUACAAAAGAUUAAAGUGGCUUAUACUUGAACACCCAACUCACCAAGCUCACCAAGAUCGGCUCUUUGGAUAUCCUUCUCUUAUUGAUGGUUGCCCUGUGUCUCAUCUGCUGCAGCGGGCCUUCCUUCUCCAGUGAUGGACCUUCUUAUUUGUAACCAUGUCUUUCCAUUUCUCGAUUUAAAGAAUGUCACACAUGGUGGCAACGGAGAAACUAUUCUAGAAGUUGGCUGUGGUGUUCAGGUCUCAGUCUCGAAAAAGACUGGGACACAGUUCCUCUAAAGAGCACAGUCACCAACCUUCUGUGACCGAAAGACUUUCGGCUGUUCUCCUGCUGAGUUGGGAGAGUUUCCCAGAAGAGCGGUUUUCUAAUAUCGGCUUUGGGUUGCUUGUUCAACAGAUGGUGAUAAUGGUGACAUUUGGAAAUCCUGGAGCAUUUCCUUGGCUUGAGGAAGUGAUGUUUACAGUGGCCCAAACAGCACACCUUCUUUGCUCGUCUCCUGAGAGAUGCUUCAAAUCUGGGAGGUUUGCCCAACCUCUUGGGACUUUUUGUAAUGAUGGAAGUGACAUUAAGUGCCAGAGCACAAACCAGGUCUCCACA